CCUACGGGUGACUGCAGUAGGGAAUAUUGCUCAAUGGGGGAAACCCUGAAGCAGCAACGCCGCGUGGAGGAUGAAGGUUUUCGGAUUGUACACUCCUUUUGUUAGAGAAGAUAAUGACGUUAUCUAACGAAUAAGCACCGUCUAACUCCGUGCCAGCAGCCGCGGUAAUACGGAGGGGGCAAGCGUUACGAGGAAACACUGGUCGUAAAGAGCGCGUAGGCGGGAUAGCAAGUCAGAUGUGAAAUCCUAUGGCUUAACCAUAGAAGUGCAUUUGAAACUGUUAUUCUCGAGUAGGGGAGAGGUAGGUGGAAUUCUUGGUGUAGGGGUAAAAUCCGUAGAGAUCAAGAGGAAUACUCAUUGCGAAGGCGACCUGCUAGAACAUAACUGACGCUGAUGCGCGAAAGCGUGGGGAGCAAACAGGAGUAGAUACCCUAGUAGUC
rnacentral:rRNA from 1 species